rnacentral:rRNA from 1 species
UGCGUAGGCGGUCCCCUAAGUUUGGUGUGAAAUCUCCCGGCUUAACUGGGAGGGUGCGCCGGAUACUGAGGGACUAGAGUGCGGGAGAGGAAAGUGGAAUUCCUGGUGUAGCGGUGAAAUGCGUAGAUAUCAGGAGGAACACCGGUGGUGUAAACGGCUUUCUGGACCGUAACUGACGCUGAGGCACGAAAGCGUGGGGAGCAAACAGGAUUAGAUACCCUGGUAGUCCACGCCCUAAACGAUGCACGUUUGGUGUGGGUGAUUCAGUUCAUCCGUGCCGGAGCUAACGCGUUAAACGUGCCGCCUGGGGAGUACAGUCGCAAGGCUGAA